rnacentral:rRNA from 1 species
GACGAACGCUGGCGGCGUGCCUAAUACAUGCAAGUCGAACGCAUUUUCUUUCACCGUAGCUUGCUACACCGAAAGAAAAUGAGUGGCGAACGGGUGAGUAACACGUGGGUAACCUGCCCAUCAGCGGGGGAUAACACUUGGAAACAGGUGCUAAUACCGCAUAAUUCCAUUCACCGCAUGGUAGAUGGGUGAAAGGCGCUUUUGCGUCACUGAUGGAUGGACCCGCGGUGCAUUAGCUAGUUGGUGGGGUAACGGCCUACCAAGGCUGCGAUGCAUAGCCGACCUGAGAGGGUGAUCGGCCACACUGGGACUGAGACACGGCCCAGACUCCUACGGGAGGCAGCAGUAGGGAAUCUUCGGCAAUGAACGCAAGUCUGACCGAGCAACGCCGCGUGAGUGAAGAAGGUUUUCGGAUCGUAAAACUCUGUUGUUAGAAAAGAACAAGGAUGAGAGUGGAAAGUUCAUCCCUUGACGGUAUCUAACCAGAAAGCCACGGCUAA